rnacentral:tRNA from 1 species
GCGCCGAUAGUAUAGUGGUAGUACCUCACCCUUCCAAGGUGAUUGCCUGGGUUCGAAUCCCAGUCGGCGCA